rnacentral:rRNA from 1 species
AGCGAACGCUGGCGGCAGGCCUAACACAUGCAAGUCGAACGAACUCUUCGGAGCUAGUGGCGGACGGGUGAGUAACACGUGGGAACGUGCCUUUUGGUUCGGAAUAACUCAGGGAAACUUGUGCUAAUACCGAAUGUGCCCUUCGGGGGAAAGAUUUAUCGCCAUUAGAGCGGCCCGCGUCUGAUUAGCUAGUUGGUGAGGUAACGGCUCACCAAGGCGACGAUCAGUAGCUGGUCUGAGAGGAUGACCAGCCACACUGGGACUGAGACACGGCCCAGACUCCUACGGGAGGCAGCAGUGGGGAAUCUUGCGCAAUGGGCGAAAGCCUGACGCAGCCAUGCCGCGUGAAUGAUGAAGGUCUUAGGAUUGUAAAAUUCUUUCACCGGGGACGAUAAUGACGGUACCCGGAGAAGAAGCCCCGGCUAACUUCGUG